rnacentral:hammerhead_ribozyme from 1 species
AUCUAGCUGACAAGUCCCAAAUAGGACGAAACAGAUGUUCUGGAU